AGUUUGAUUAUGGCUCAGAUUGAACGCUGGCGGGAUGCUUUACACAUGCAAGUCGAACGGCAGCACGGACUUCGGUCUGUAGGCGAGUGGCGAACGGGUGAGUAAUGUAUCGGAACGUGCCUAGUGAAGCGGGGACAACUACGCGCGAAAGGUAUUAAUACCGCAUACGCCCUUCGGGGGAAAGCGGGGACCUUCUUGGGCCUCGCACUAUUAGAGCGGCCGAUAUCGGAUUAGCUAGUUGGUGGGGUAACGGCUCACCAAGGCGACGAUCCGUAGCUGGUUUGAGAGGACGACCAGCCACACUGGGAACGAGACAUCGGCCCAGACUCCUACGGGAGGCAGCAGUGGGGAAUUCUUGACAAUGGGGAAACUCCUGAUCCAGCCAUCCCGCGUGUGCGAUGAAGGCCUCGGGUUGUAAAGCACUUUCGGCAGGAAAAGAAACGGCACGUGGAUAAUACCCCGUGCAACUGACGGUACCUGCAGAAUAAGCACCGGCUAAUCACGUGCCAGCAGCCGCGGUAAUACGUAGGGUGCAAGCGUUAAUCGGAAUUACUGGGCGUAAAGCGUGCGCAGGCGGUUCGAAAGAGGGAAAUCCCAGAGCUUAACUUUUGGAACUGCAUUUUUAACUACCGAGCUGAUGUGUCAGAGGGAGGUGGAAUUCCGCGUGUAGCAGUGAAAUGCGUAGAUAUGCGGAGGAACACCGAUGACGAAGGCAGCCUCCUGGGAUAACACUGACGCUCAUGCACGAAAGCGUGGGGAGCAAACAGGAUUAGAUACCCUGGUAGUCCACGCCCCAAACGAUGUCAACUAGCUGUUGGGCGCCUCGCCCAAGGCGCAGGCUCGGAUGCAAGAAAUGAUCGCCUG
rnacentral:misc_RNA from 1 species